rnacentral:rRNA from 1 species
CAGUAGCCGCGGUAAUACAGAGGGUGCGAGCGUUAAUCGGAUUUACUGGGCGUAAAGCGUGCGUAGGCGGCUUUUUAAGUCGGAUGUGAAAUCCCUGAGCUUAACUUAGGAAUUGCAUUCGAUACUGGGAAGCUAGAGUAUGGAAGAGGAUGGUAGAAUUCCAGGUGUAGCGGUGAAAUGCGUAGAGAUCUGGAGGAAUACCGAUGGCGAAGGCAGCCAUCUGGCCUAAUACUGACGCUGAGGUACGAAAGCAUGGGGAGCAAACAGGAUUAGAUACCCCUGUAGUCCCUGUCUUUUAUAA